GCGCUUCUGAGGUGCGAGACAGGAUUUAGGUUCCAGCGCCGCAAGGCGUGAGAGUUCGAGUCUCUCCGUCCGCACCA
rnacentral:tRNA from 1 species